GAUGAACGCUGGCGGCGUGCCUAAUACAUGCAAGUCGAGCGAACGGACGAGAAGCUUGCUUCUCUGAUGUUAGCGGCGGACGGGUGAGUAACACGUGGAUAACCUACCUAUAAGACUGGGAUAACUUCGGGAAACCGGAGCUAAUACCGGAUAAUAUUUUGAACCGCAUGGUUCAAAAGUGAAAGACGGUCUUGCUGUCACUUAUAGAUGGAUCCGCGCCGCAUUAGCUAGUUGGUAAGGUAACGGCUUACCAAGGCAACGAUGCAUAGCCGACCUGAGAGGGUGAUCGGCCACACUGGAACUGAGACACGGUCCAGACUCCUACGGGAGGCAGCAGUAGGGAAUCUUCCGCAAUGGGCGAAAGCCUGACGGAGCAACGCGGCGUGAGUGAUGAAGGUCUUCGGAUCGUAAAACUCUGUUAUUAGGGAAGAACAUAUGUGUAAGUAACUGUGCACAUCUUGACGGUACCUAAUCAGAAAGCCACGGCUAACUACGUG
rnacentral:rRNA from 1 species